AGCUUUGCGCAGUGGCAGUAUCGUAGCCUAUGAGGUUUAUCCGAGGCGCGAUUAUUGCUAGUUGAAAACUUUACCCAAUACCCCGCCUUGACGACUCACUGAGUCGGCAACGGCAAUUUUUGACGGUUUCUAAGGAAA
ensembl:snRNA U4 U4 spliceosomal RNA